rnacentral:hammerhead_ribozyme from 1 species
GCAUUGCUGAAGAGUCCCACACUAGGACGAAAUGACCGUCUAGUGC